rnacentral:rRNA from 1 species
GUGCAGCAGUCGCGAAACUUUACAAUGUGCGAAAGCACGAUAAGGGAACUCUGAGUGCCUCCUAAGGAGGCUGUUCAGGUGUCUAAAAGCACCUGAAGGAAGGGCUGGGUAAGACCGGUGCCAGCCGCCGCGGUAACACCGGCAGCCCAAGUGGUAGCCACGUUUAUUGGGUCUAAAGCGUCCGUAGCCGGCUGGGUAAGUUCCUUGGGAAAUUUGGCUGCUUAACAGUCAAGCUUUCAGGGAAUACUGCUCGGCUUGGGACCGGGAGAGGUCAGAGGUACUCCAGGGGUAGGGGUGAAAUCCAUUAAUCCUUGGGGGACCACCGGUAGCGAAGGCGUCUGACCAGACCGGGUCCGACGGUGAGGGACGAAGGCUAGGGGCGCGAACCGGAUUAGAUACCCCCGUAGU